AUUGAACGCUGGCGGCAUGCUUUACACAUGCAAGUCGAACGGGAACAUGCCUUCGGGUGCUGACGAGUGGCGAACGGGUGAGUAAUGCAUCGGAACGUGCCCAGAGGUGGGGGAUAACGCAGCGAAAGCUGUGCUAAUACCGCAUGUGAUCUGAGGAUGAAAGCGGGGGACCAGGCAGCAAUGUUUGGCCUCGCGCCUUUGGAGCGGCCGAUGUCAGAUUAGGUAGUUGGUGGGGUAAAGGCCUACCAAGCCGACGAUCUGUAGCUGGUCUGAGAGGACGACCAGCCACACUGGGACUGAGACACGGCCCAGACUCCUACGGGAGGCAGCAGUGGGGAAUUUUGGACAAUGGGCGCAAGCCUGAUCCAGCAAUGCCGCGUGCGGGAAGAAGGCCUUCGGGUUGUAAACCGCUUUUGUACGGAACGAAAAGGCUCUGGCUAAUACCUGGGGCUGAUGACGGUACCGUAAGAAUAAGCACCGGCUAACUACGUG
rnacentral:rRNA from 1 species